UAGGGAAACUGCUGUAGUUUAAGAUGUUGAUACACAAGAGAUGCUCCAUGUCCAGUUUGAACAAAUAGCUGAAUAUGUUGGAGAUCCAAGCGACACUGGUUAUUAAAUAAGGAUGUGGUAUUUAAUCCAGUAUUGCAAGGAGCCUUUUGUUGCUAGCUGGUUUGAUUCGCUUGGUGGUUUCAUUGGUGUUCGCGCUUCAAUUAGGAUCAAGUUUGAGCAUAUCACUUGGCAGCAGAAAUUUUCAAUUGACUUGGAUAAUCAAGGGAAUAUCUCCUGUCUCAAACAGGUCAUUGUUGCUGUCAAUAUAUCUUAUAAUUAUAACGUGCUUCCAUAUCUAAAUGAAUAUUGAUGACGUGGACCAGACAAUGGAUGAGAUCAACAAGCAGACCUAUAAUUUAAGACAGAUACGGGAGGCACUAGCUUCUCAUAUUGGUGGUGCAGCUGAUUUUGACGAGGAUGAAUUGGAAGCCGAGCUUGAAGAACUUGAAGGAGCUGAGUUGGAAGAACAACUUCUGCAGCCAGCUAUCACUGCCCCUAUAGCACCAAUUAAGGCCAUCCGAACUUAAUUUCACUUAUCUGAAUUUACUAAACUUAUUUUGUAUGAAGUAAGUCAACAAAACAGGGCCUUAUAAAGGUUUGACAUUUUCUUUGUACAGUCGUCUUAACUUUCAAUUUACUGCCAAGUUAUCCUAGAGGUACCUCGGAAUUUAUAACAUGGCCUUGUCUGUUGGCUGAAAAUGAAAUAGGGAUAGAUUUUAUAAUGAACA